CCUACGGGAGGCAGCAGUGGGGAAUAUUGCGCAAUGGGCGAAAGCCUGACGCAGCGACGCCGCGUGAGGGAUGAAGGUCUUCGGAUCGUAAACCUCUGUCAGCAGGGAAGAACGGUCACUGUGAUAAUCAGCAGUGAAUUGACGGUACCUGCAAAGGAAGCAUCGGCUAACUCCGUGCCAGCAGCCGCGGUAAUACGGAGGAUGCGAGCGUUAUCCGGAUUUAUUGGGUUUAAAGGGUGCGCAGGCGGUCUGUUAAGUCAGCGGUCAAAGCCCGGGGCUCAACCCCGGCCCGCCGUUGAAACUGG
rnacentral:rRNA from 1 species